AACGAACGCUGGCGGCAGGCUUAACACAUGCCAGUCGAACGAACGGGUGGCUUCCGUGCCCGAUUCUAGUGGAGCACGGGCGAGUAAGACGCGGGAAUAUGCCCUUUAGUACGGAAUAACCUAGGGAAACUGUUGCUAAUACCGUAUACGCCCAUCGGGGGAACGCUUUAUCGCCAAAGGAUUAGCCCGCGUCUGCUUAGGUAUUUGGUGAGGUUAUGGCUCACCAAGUCGACGAUCAGUAGCUGAGCUGAGAGGAUGAUCAGCCACACUGGUACUGAGACACGGCCCAGACUCCUACGGGAGGCAGCAGUGGGGAAUACUGGACAACGGGGGCAAGCCUGAUCCAGCCAGGCGGGGUGAGUGAAGAAGGCCUUCGGGUUGUCAAGCUCUUUCGACGGGGACGCUGAUGACGGUACCCGUAUAAGAAGCCACGGCAAACUUCGUG
rnacentral:rRNA from 1 species